CCUACGGGGGGCAGCAGUGGGGAAUCUUCCGCAAUGGGCGAAAGCCUGCCGGAGCAACGCCGCGUGAUCGAAUGAAGGCCUUCGGGUUGUAAAGAUCUGUUGACAGGGACGAAUAAGCCAUGCGAAUAGUUUGGUGUAUGACGGUACCUGUUUAGAAAGCUCCGGCUAACUACGUGCCAGCAGCCGCGGUAAUACGUAGGGAGCAAGCGUUGUCCGGAAUUACUGGGCGUAAAGGGCGAGUAGGUGGGUGCUUAAGUCAGGUGUGAAAACUCUGGGCUCAACCUGGGGACUGCACGUGAAACUGGGGAUCUUGAGGGCAGGAGAGGAAAGUGGAAUUCCUAGUGUAGCGGUGAAAUGCGUAGAUAUUAGGAGGAACACCAGUGGCGAAGGCGACUUUCUGGACUGUACCUGACGCUGAGGCGCGAAAGCGUGGGUAGCGAACGGGAUUAGAUACCCGGGUAGUC
rnacentral:rRNA from 1 species